rnacentral:rRNA from 1 species
GAGUGAACGCUGGCGGUAGCCCUAACCCAUGCAAGUCGAACGGCAGCACAGUAAGAGCUUGCUCUUACGGGUGGCGAGUGGCGGACGGGUGCGGAAUACAUCGGAAUCUACUUUUUCGUGGGGGAUAACGGAGGGAAACUUACGCUAAUACCGCAUACGACCUACGGGUGAAAGCAGGGGAUCUUCGGACCUUGCGCGAUCGAAUGAGCCGAUGUCGGAUUAGCUAGUUGGCGGGGUAAAGGCCCACCAAGGCGACGAUCCGUAGCUGGUCUGAGAGGAUGAUCAGCCACACUGGAACUGAGACACGGUCCAGACUCCUACGGGAGGCAGCAGUGGGGAAUAUUGGACAAUGGGCGCAAGCCUGAUCCAGCCAUACCGCGUGGGUGAAGAAGGCCUUCGGGUUGUAAAGCCCUUUUGUUGGGAAAGAAAAGCAGCAGGUUAAUACCCCGCUGUUCUGACGGUACCCAAAGAAUAAGCACCGGCUAACCUCGUG